rnacentral:lncRNA from 1 species
GCUGCCGCCCCUGGCCUGCCAGGACCCAGAGGGAGCGGAGCACGCGCCUUUGGGAAUCUUCGGUGCGCCAAGUCUGUUCGCCGCCGGGGUCUAUCACCCCCGCCCCUCGCCUCUGCCCGUGAGCGUCUGGCUUGGCUUUUUCAGAGGAAACAGAGACUCUCAGACAUGAAUACUGUGACACUGACCACCAGGCCAACUUAACAUCAGCAGAUAUCCUGUCUCAGAUGAAGAGAAUGGCCUGUCCAGAAGACAGCCAAAUACAUCCUUCAAACAGACUUCACUGCAGGAGACAGAGUGGAUUCAUCCUGUAUUCUCCAUGUAGACUUCCAUCUUCAUGAGUACUCCAAGAAGAUGGUUCAGUUGACUAUUGCAAAGUCUCAGGUAUGUCUUUAUCAGCAGCAUGAAAAUGGACUAAUAGUACCAGUAGAGUGGGGCAUUGCUGAAAAGAUACCCGAAAAUGUGGAAGCAACUUUGGAACUGGGUGUUGAAAUAAUCUGGAGGGCUCAGAAGAAGAUAGGAAAAUGUAGGAAAGUUUGGAACCUCCUAGAGACUGUGAAUGGCAUUGACAAAAAUACUGAUAGUGAUAUGAACAAUAAGGUCCAGGCUGAGGUGGUCUCAGAUGGAGAUGAAGACCUUGUUGGGAACUGAAGUAAAGGUGACCCUUGUUAUGUUUUAGCAAGGAGACUGGCAGCAUUUCACCCUUGCCCUAGAGAUUUGUGGAACUUAGAGCUUGAGAGAGAUGACUUAGGGUAUCUGGUGGAAUAAAUUUCUAAGCAGCAAAGCAUUCAAAAGGUGACUUGGGUGCUGUUAAAAACAUUCUGUUUUAAAAGGGAAACAAGAGCAUAAAUGUGGAAAAUCUGCAGCCUGAUGAUGCAGUAGAAAAGAAAAACCCAUUUUUUUUAAGGAGAAAUUCAAGCUGGCUGCAG